rnacentral:rRNA from 1 species
UUCCGGUUGAUCCUGCCGGACCUGACUGCUAUCAGAUUGAUACUAAGCCAUGUUAGUUAUUGUAGUAAUACAAGGCAGACGGCUCAGUAACACGUAGUCAACCUAACUUAUGGACGGGGAUAACCUCGGGAAACUGAGAAUAAUACCCGAUAGGUCAUGAUGCCUGGAAUGGUUUAUGACUCAAAUAAUUUAUUGCCGUAGGAUGGGACUGCGAGCUAUCAGCUUGUUGGUGAGGUAAUGGCCCACCAAGGCUAUUACAGCUACGGGCUCUGAGAGGAGUAGCCCGGAGAUGGGUACUGAGACAAGGACCCAGGCCCUAUGGGGCGCAGCAGGCGAGAAAACUUUGCAAUGCGCGAAAGCUCGACAAGGUUAAUCUGAGUGGUUCCUGCUAAAGGAACCUUUUGUUAGUCGUAGAACCACUGAUGAAUAAGGGGUGGGCAAGUUCUGGUGUCAGCCGCCGCGGUAAAACCAGCACCUCAAGUGGUCAGGAUGAUUAUUGGGCCUAAAGCAUCCGUAGCCUGUUCUGUAAGUUUUCGGUUAAAUCCAUAAGCUCAACUUAUGGGCUGCCGAAAAUACUGCAGAACUAGGGAGUGGGAGAGGUAGACGGUACUCGGUAGGAAGGGGUAAAAUCCUUUGAUCUAUUGAUGACCACCUGUGGCGAAGGCGGUCUACCAGAACACGUUCGACGGUGAGGGAUGAAAGCUGGGGGAGCAAACCGGAUUAGAUACCCGGGUAGUCCCAGCUGUAAACGAUGCAAACUCGAUGAUGCGUUGGCUUGUUGCUAGCGCAGUGUCGCAGGGAAGCCGUUAAGUUUGCCGCCUGGGAAGUACGUACGCAAGUAUGAAACUUAAAGGAAUUGGCGGGGGAGCACCACAAGGGGUGAAGCCUGCGGUUCAAUUGGAUUCAACGCCGG